rnacentral:rRNA from 1 species
AUGACUGUAAAGAAGACAGUGGUUGAUUGCACACGGGGCAUCAGUAGGGAGGAGAGAGCCAUAGCUAGAAGGAACAAACGUGAGUCCUUGAUUUCCAGUGGGAGUGAUGUCAGAAGAAAAAAAAAAAGAAGGGUUAGGAGGUUUCAGAAACAAACGGAAAAGAUGGUAAAAUUGCUAAAGGAAACACUAGCCGCAGAGGCUGCUGAGGCUGCUGAGGAAGCACGGCUUUUCAAUUUAGAGCACCCCCACCAAGUUGUUUCAAGCACUCCUUUCCAAGAGAAAGAGUUUGGUGAUAAGCCACUUCAAACAAUCAGGGCCAGCAAGGACAUAACUCCAGAUUUGUCUGCCAUUGUUGUCUCUCUUGCUCUGUUUGAUGGAAGCAGGAUGUUAUUUGCAUGCUCUGGCCUAGCUAUACCAUCCGGGACAACUAAACUAGAGCUAAGAAGAUUUGUGACUUCAAGACGUUUGGUUGAGGAAUUUAAUAAAAACCGAAAUAUAGAUGAUAAAUUGAGGAUUGACGUGUGCCUUCCAGAUAAUACACAUAUGGAUGGGUUCUUGGGACUAUAUGAUAAAGAUAUUGCUAUUGUCACGUCCUGCGACUUCACGUAUUGUGCCCCCACGAAAGAUGUCUGUCCUGUAAAUCUGGACCUUCAUGCGCCUCUGCCUUCUGAUGGUAAAAUAAUAGCAGCUGCUCGUGCCUUUGGAUCGGGCCGUUUAAUGGUCACAUCCGGGCUUCUGACUGGAAAUGGUAUUGCAAGAUGGGAACAAAUCACAGAGGCUGCACUUGGAGGGCCACUCGUCGAUCAAGAUGCGAAGUUUCUUGGGGUCAACAUUCGUGUCGAGGGCCCUUCUUCUUGGUUCCUACCACUGAUGGCUCUUUGUAAACGCUUGGAGAAUUUUCAGUUACUCAGUUCUAGAACUACGGACUUCCGUGGAUAUUCCUUGCCUCCAUUUGUAUCAAGCAUAAUCCCUUCAGGGUUCUGGUUUAGAAUUAAGCAGCUAGAUUCCCUUGGUUAUCCCAGGCCACCACCACUUGUUCUUGAAUUCAAUGGGGAAUUGCUCGAGACAUUUGAGGAGAAAUUUGGUCAAUUACUUGCAUGGAAAGGGUAUCCUUACAGCGUUUCGAACCCGCGUUCUAGGGAGUAUGUUUGGCCGCUACUUCCAAGAGACGUUGUUACAAACAUAUCCCGAAGUGUUGUCAAACUUGCGUCGUUCAAUGGAAGCGUGAGGUCUUUUGCAUGCACAGGCUUGCUAAUAAAGUGGCCUGGAACUGAAGGCACACGCACUGUCAUUCUCACUUCGGCAAGUUUAGUUAGAAGUCGUGAUGAUCACUUCAAGAUUGAUAACAACUUAACGAUUGAUGUGUUUCUCCCACCGAAACAACAUGCCAAGGGGACUUUGGUAUUCUACCAUUUAAAUGCUAAUCUUGCUAUUGUCAGUCUUGAUAAGGGUAUCCGUGGCAUUCGUCCAUUUGAUAUUUGCCAUAAAGGGGAUUUAUCUAAACCGGUAGUAGCUAUAGCGCGUAAAAUUGAAGCAGGGUUUUUAAUGGCCUCAAAAGGUGAAGUGGUUGAAUACAAUCCCCGCGACAGUUAUUUUGAAAAGCUUAUGCUGUCCACUUGUAAAAUCAACAAGGCUGGGAUUGGAGGUCCCCUUAUUAAUUUUGAUGGGGCAUUUGUUGGCAUGAAUCACUAUGAUGGAAGUGAAGUAACUCCUUUCAUGCCAAGGCGUGAGAUUGUUCAAAUUCUGAAAGGAGAGGUUAAUUGGCGAAGACAAAGUGGUCUCUCCAUGGACGUACUGCAUGGUGUUGGAUGUGGGAGUCGGAUACACCGGCGAAAGUGGCCUCUUCCCGAGCCAUACUGGUACCAUGGUUUACUUACUAUGGACAAGUAUGAUUUGCACCCGCAUAUUGGAAGACAACUCCAGUAG